rnacentral:lncRNA from 1 species
GAAGCGGAAAAGAGCUGAAAGUCUUGGUUUGGCCUUGGGUUCCGCUGUAGGGGAGGUCCCGUGCGAAAGAAUGAGGAGAUCCUGGGGCCUUACCUACUAGCGGAAUCGGGUGAAGAGACGCCUGCCAGUGCGGGAGGUAGGAAGCUCGAUCCCCAAAGAAAAGAGUGAGUGGGCAGGCAGCUGCGAGACAGAACCGGAGUGUGCAGGGUCCCUAGAGGCCGGUUCCUGGUCGGUGCUGCUGUCCUGGAAGCCAUGGUACAGGCAGAGCUCAGGGCGAUCCCCAGGUGAGGGCAGCGGCUCUGCCUGGGAUUCCACCGCAGUACAACCGGGUAGAUGCGGGGUGGGGAAGAAAGGAUGUUGCCUGCACUGCUCGCCAAUAGCACCCUGAGCGGCUACAUUUGCAGGAGCAGCAGCAGAAGAAGACACAGCGCCGGUCCAGGAGGCGGCUCGAGCUGUUCGUAAAGUCGCCCGACAGCUUUUUCUCCGUAGUAUGCGAGUUGACAAAACAGCCAGAGAACAGGGUUCCCCAUUACAAUCUUUUCGAGAUCUUUUCCCUUGCUAACCGGAUCUGAUUUGUGCGAAAACAUGCCUUGCACUUGUACCUGGAGGAACUGGAGACAGUGGAUUCGACCUUUAGUAGCGGUCAUCUACCUGGUGUCAAUAGUGGUUGCGGUUCCCCUAUGCGUGUGGGAAUUACAGAAACUGGAGGUUGGAAUACACACCAAGGCUUGGUUUAUUGCUGGAAUCUUUUUGCUGUUGACUAUUCCUAUAUCACUGUGGGUGAUAUUGCAACACUUAGUGCAUUAUACACAACCUGAACUACAAAAACCAAUAAUAAGGAUUCUUUGGAUGGUACCUAUUUACAGUUUAGAUAGUUGGAUAGCUUUGAAAUAUCCCGGAAUUGCAAUAUAUGUGGAUACCUGCAGAGAAUGCUAUGAAGCUUAUGUAAUUUACAACUUUAUGGGAUUCCUUACCAAUUAUCUAACUAACCGGUAUCCAAAUCUGGUAUUAAUCCUUGAAGCCAAAGAUCAACAGAAACAUUUCCCUCCUUUAUGUUGCUGUCCACCAUGGGCUAUGGGAGAAGUAUUGCUGUUUAGGUGCAAACUAGGUGUAUUACAGUACACAGUUGUCAGACCUUUCACCACCAUCGUUGCUUUAAUCUGUGAGCUGCUUGGUAUAUAUGACGAAGGGAACUUUAGCUUUUCAAAUGCUUGGACUUACUUAGUUAUAAUAAACAACAUGUCACAGUUGUUUGCCAUGUAUUGUCUCCUGCUCUUUUAUAAAGAACUAAAAGAA